rnacentral:rRNA from 1 species
CCUACGGGAGGCUGCAGUGGGGGAUAUUGCACAAUGGGGGGAACCCUGAUGCAGCGACGCCGCGUGGGUGAAGGAGCGUUUCGGCGCGUAAAGCCCUAUCGGCAGGGACGAAGAUGCCGGUACCUGACCAAGAAGCACCGGCUAACUACGUGCCAGCAGCCGCGGUAAUACGUAGGGGGCAAGCGUUAUCCGGAUUUACUGGGUGUAAAGGGGGCGCAGACGGCAAUGCAAGCCAGGAGUGAAAGCCCGGGGCCCAACCCCGGGACUGCUGUUGAAACUGCAUGGCUGGAGUACAGGAGGGGCAGGCGGAAUUCCCAGUGUAGCGGUGAAAUGCGUAGAUAUUAGGAGGAACACCGGUGGCGAAGGCGGCUUACUGGACAGAAACUGACACUGAGGCUCGAAAGCGUGGGGAGCAAACAGGAUUAGAUACCCCUGUAGUC